rnacentral:rRNA from 1 species
UACAGAGGGUGCGAGCGUUAAUCGGAAUUACUGGGCGUAAAGCGCGCGUAGGCGGCUUUGCAAGUCGGGUGUGAAAUCCCCAGGCUUAACCUGGGAACUGCAUUCGAGACUGCAUUGCUAGAGUAUGGGAGAGGGAAGUGGAAUUUCCGGUGUAGCGGUGAAAUGCGUAGAUAUCGGAAGGAACACCAACGGCGAAGGCAGCUUGCUGGGACGGUACUGACGCUGAGAUGCGAAAGCGUGGGGAGCAAACAGG